CGUCAUCACUCCUCGCAAUGACAUGGUGGGGAUGGAUAAGGCGAUGUGGCGCACAAUCUCGCUCUCUCGCCGCUAGUCCCUAGCUAUGGCAGCGCUAUCGGCAGUGACCACAUUCCAUCACACGCGCAGCUGCGAUCAAGCUCCCGCGAUCAAUCUGGGCGUCGUGAGGUGCGUAACACUGGCCAGGAUUGUAAGGUGGAGAUUUUUAGGGUGUGACGCUGCGAGCUCCUCGUCCCAGCGCUUCUUCCAUCCUCCGCAUUGCAGUAUUGCGUGCGCAGCGGCGGUCGCUGCUGGAGAUGUUCCAACUGUGGCCGAUACCAAGUCGGCAUUCCUCAAGGCUUUCCGGAAGCCGAUACCCAGCAUUUACAACAACGUCUUGCAGGAGCUCCUCGUCCAGCAGCACUUGAUGCGAUACAACGCCACUUACAAGUACGAUGCGGUGUUUGCUCUCGGCUUUGUGACUGUCUACGACCAGCUCAUGGACGGCUACCCGAACGCGCAAGACAGCGAAGCCAUCUUCAAGGCCUACAUCGAAGCUUUGGGAGAAGACCCCGAUCAGUACAGGAAAGACGCUAAAAAGCUCGAGGAAUGGGCAUCCUCACAGACGGCUUCGUCCCUCGCGUCUUUUAACUCGGGCGACGGCGACGUUGAGGAGGUCCUCAAGGAUAUCGCACAGCGCGCCGCCGGGAAGACGAGCUUUCACUACAGCCGUUUCUUUGCGGUCGGUUUGUUCCGGCUGGUGGAACGGGCAAACGCUUCCGAUCCGGCCGUCUUGGAGAAGCUCUGCAAUGCGCUGAACGUGAGCAAGAUGAGCGUGGAUAGAGACCUGGACGUGUACCGAAAUCUCUUGACCAAGCUCUCGCAGGCCAAGGACCUGCUCAAGGAGUACAUUGACAGAGAAAAGAAGAAGAGCGCGGAGAGGGAAGCAUCCAAAACCAGUGAACCAGUAAACAAAUGAACGCUACGGUUUUGUUAGAGCUCUCGAGCCCUAUGUAGUUUGCACGAUCACUCUUGUGUAAUGGGUAAAGAGAGUUAUAGCUUCGUACGUAGGAAUACUGUCCAGGACCGUCUCUCGCGGUAAGCCUGUUAGAGAAGAUCCUAGUGAAGGAAAAAAAAAAGGUGUUCUCUAUCGAAAGGGCCACGCCAAAGUUCAUGCA